rnacentral:misc_RNA from 1 species
UCCGAUUUGUCACCGGCAGUCUCCCUAGAGUCCCCGGCAUAACCCGUUGGCAACUGGAAGCAGGGGUUGCGCUCGUUGCGGGACUUAACCCUACACCUCACGGCACGAGCUGACGACAGCCAUGCAGCACCUGUGCUGGCUACCCUUGCGGGUUCAUCCCCGUUUCCGGUUCUUACCACCAGCAUGUCAAACCUGGGUAAGGUUCUUCGCGUUGCGUCGAAUUAAACCACAUGCACCACCGCUUGUGCGGGCCCCCGUCAAUUCCUUUGAGUUUCAGCCUUGCGGCCGUACUCCCCAGGCGGGGCACUUAGUGCGUUAGCUACGGCACGGGAGGAGUCGACACCUCCCACACCUAGUGCCCAUCGUUUACGGCGUGGACUAC